rnacentral:rRNA from 1 species
UCAAGCUAUUAAGAGCAUAGGGUGAAUGCCUUGGCACCAGGAGCCGAAGAAGGACGUGAUAAGCUGCGAAAAGCUGCGGAGAGGCGCAAAUAGCCUAUGACCCGCAGAUAUCCGAAUGGGGGAACCCACCUGAGGCAAGAACUCAGGUAUCACUGCAUGAAUCCAUAGUGCAGUGAAGGGAGACGUGGGGAACUGAAACAUCUAAGUACCCACAGGAAAAGAAAACAACAGUGAUUCCGUAAGUAGUGGCGAGCGAAAGCGGAAGAGCCCAAACCAUAAUAUAGCAAUAUAUAAUGGGGUUGAGGAGCGGCAGGAAUGAGCAGAAUGCCUAGCAGAAAGAGCGGAUGGAAAGCCGAGACCAAAGAGGGUAAAAGUCCCGUACGCGAAAGGCAAGAAGCCAUAGCCGACAUCCAGAGUACCACGAGGCACGAGGAACCUUGUGGGAAGCAGGGAGGACCACCUCCCAAGGCUAAAUACUACCUGGUGACCGAUAGUGGAGCAGUACCGUGAGGGAAAGGUGAAAAGAACCCCGGGAGGGGAGUGAAAGAGAACCUGAAACCCUAUGUUUACAAGCAGUCAAAGAGCGUUGACCCAAGACCUAAGCUAGGGGUUCAAGACAGCAGCAAGGAUUUUGAGAGCACAAUACUUGAAGGGAUGCGCGGGAAUAAUUGGUUUUAUUUCAAGCAGACCUGAAAGGAUUGGGCGCCAAAAGACGCAGCUGAUCUCUUGAAAAACUAGCUUAGGACUUGGGUGCUGCUCGAUGGCGUACUUUUUGUAGAACGGUCCGGCGAGUUAUAGUAUGCAGCGAGGUUAAGUACUAAAAAGGUACGGAGCCGAAGGGAAACCGAGUCUUAAAAGGGCGAUAAGUUGCAUGCAAUAGACCCGAAACCGGGUGAUCUACCCAUGGACAGGUUGAAGCUAGAGUAAAAUCUGGUGGAGGACCGAACCACGUGACCGUUGAAAAGGUCUGGGAUGAGCUGUGGGUGGCGGAGAAAUUCCAAUCGAACUCGGAGAUAGCUGGUUCUCCCCGAAAUAGCUUUAGGGCUAGCCUCAAAUUAAUCUAACGGAGGUAAAGCACUGAAUGGGCUAGGGGCCUAACCGGGUUACCGAACCCUAUCAAACUCUGAAUGCCGUAUAGAAGAUGUUUGGGAGUCAGACUACGAGAGAUAAGUUUCGUAGUCGAGAGGGAAACAGCCCAGACCAACAGCUAAGGUCCCAAAAUCGCAGUUAAGUGGGAAAGGAUGUGGGUUUGCUAAGACAACUAGGAUGUUGGCUUAGAAGCAGCCACUCAUUCAAAGAGUGCGUAAUAGCUCACUAGUCGAGUGAGCCUGCGCCGAAAAUUACCGGGGCUAAAACUGCGUACCGAAGCUUUGGAUACCGUAAGGUAUGGUAGGGGAGCUUUCUGCAGCAGGUAGAAGCAUGACUGAGAAGACAUGUGGACGAAGCAGAAGAGAGAAUGCCGGAAUAAGUAGCGAAAGUGAAGUGAGAAUCUUUACCGUCGAAAGCCUAAGGAUUCCUGGGGAAGGUUCGUCCGCCCAGGGUAAGUCGGGACCUAAGCUGAGGCCGAAAGGCGUAGGCGAUGGACAACAGGUUGAAAAUCCUGUACUACCGUUCCUCGUGGGCAGAACUGAAUCAUAAAACCUGGUUUUUAGAUGAGAUAUUUUUUGUCAAGACAAGGCGGAGGAGGGCGCAAUAAUUGGUUUUAUUGCAACCGACGACAACGAAGAAUUGACGGAAAAUAGCCAGUUAAAAAGCAGGGAAUUAUGGUUGAGUUCUGCCUGCAGAGAAGUGGGGACGCAGGGGGAUAGGUUAAGCGAGUGACCAGAAGAGCUCGUCCAAGGGAAGUAGAAAGUCCGGCAGGCAAAUCCGCCGGAUGAUUCGAAGGCCUGAAGGGGAGGGAAGAUAAGUACCGAAGUAACUGAUUCCGCACUGACGAGAAAAGCCACUAUCAAGAGGGAAGGUACCCGUACCGCAAACCGACACAGGUAGGUGAGGAGAGAAUCCUAAGACGAGCGGGAGAAGCGUUGUUAAGGAACUCGGCAAAUUGACCCCGUAAGUUCGCGAGAAGGGGUGCCUCUAUGGGAAUAGAGGCCGCAGAGAAUAGGCCCAAGCAACUGUUUAUCAAAAACACAGGUCUCUGCUAAAUCGAAAGAUGACGUAUAGGGGCUGACGCCUGCCCGGUGCUGGAAGGUUACGGGGAACUGUUAACGCAAGUGAAGCAGUGAACUUAAGCCCCAGUAAACGGCGGCCGUAACUAUAACGGUCCUAAGGUAGCGAAAUUCCUUGUCAGGUAAGUUCUGACCCGCACGAAUGGCGAAAUGACUUGGGCACUGUCUCAACAACGUACCCGGCGAAAUUGUAGUACUUGUGAAGAUGCAAGUUACCCGCGACUAGACGGAAAGACCCCAUGGAGCUUCACUGCAGCCUGAUACUGGGUUUCGGUAAUCUUUGUACAGGAUAGGUGGGAGACUAAGAAGUAAUAGCGCCAGCUAUUAUGGAGUCGACGUUGGGAUACCACUCUAAGAUUACUGGAACUCUAACAAGUAUCCAUAAGCUGGAUAUUGGACACUGUCAGGUGGGCAGUUUGACUGGGGCGGUCGCCUCCUAAAGAGUAACGGAGGCGUCCAAAGGUUACCUCAGCGCGGUUGGAAAUCGCGUGACGAGUGCAAAGGCAAAAGGUAGCCUGACUGCAAGACAGACAAGUCGAGCAGGUACGAAAGUAGGGCUUAGUGAUCCGGCGGUAUGAAAGUGGAAUUGCCGUCGCUCAACGGAUAAAAGCUACCCUGGGGAUAACAGGCUUAUCUCCCCCAAGAGUCCACAUCGA